rnacentral:rRNA from 1 species
AUUGAACGCUGGCGGCAUGCUUUACACAUGCAAGUCGAACGGUAACAGGUUAAGCUGACGAGUGGCGAACGGGUGAGUAAUGCAUCGGAACGUGCCCGGUCGUGGGGGAUAACGCAGCGAAAGCUGCGCUAAUACCGCAUACGAUCUGAGGAUGAAAGCGGGGGACCGUAAGGCCUCGCGCGGUCGGAGCGGCCGAUGUCAGAUUAGGUAGUUGGUGGGGUAAAGGCUCACCAAGCCAACGAUCUGUAGCGGGUCUGAGAGGACGAUCAGCCACACUGGGACUGAGACACGGCCGAGACUCGUACGGGAGGCAGCAGUGGGGAAUUUUGGACAAUGGGCGAAAGCCUGAUCCAGCAAUGCCGCGUGCAGGAAGAAGGCCUUCGGGUUGUAAACUGCUUCUGUACGGAGCGAAAAGGUCUCCUCUAAUACAGGGGGCUCAUGACGGUACCGUAAGAAUAAGCACCGGCUAACUACGUGCCAGCAGCCGCCGUAA